rnacentral:rRNA from 1 species
UACGAAGGGUGCAAGCGUUACUCGGAAUUACUGGGCGUAAAGCGCGCGCAGGCGGUCCUUUAAGUCUGAUGUGAAAGCCCACGGCUCAACCGUGGAGGGUCAUUGGAAACUGGGGGACUUGAGUGCAGAAGAGGAAAGCGGAAUUCCACGUGUAGCGGUGAAAUGCGUAGAGAUGUGGAGGAACACCAGUGGCGAAGGCGGCUUUCUGGUCUGUAACUGACGCUGAGGCGCGAAAGCGUGGGGAGCAAACAGG